GGGGAUGGUCAGGGAACAGGCAGGUAGUUACACAGGUCCGUGACCGGCAAUCGUCCUGGUGAGAGCAAGGCAUGAAGGUGUGGAUUUCCCUGCUACGUGUACUUAAGAAGUUUAACUGCUGGCGUUCUGAACUGCAUCUACCGGAUCAUUUGCAUGCGGCUGGGCUAGAGUCCUAAUGAACUGUUAAUUAAGCCUUUGGUUAUCCUUAUACUGUACAGUUACUGUCUCUUUCAAAUGAGGUUUAAGUAAAUUGGUACUUUUCUCCCCUAAUGAUAAACUCUUACUGAGCUACCCUUGACGUAGAAGAAAGCACCGACAUGCCUUGCACCCAUGCCAUCUAUUCCCAAGGAACCCUGGGAAGACAGUCUAUGCGAUUGUGUGUGUUGGUGUUGAACUUGGAAUGUAAAAUACAUGCACGGGUAAAAUCAAAACAUGGUUUGUGUAUUCAUUCAGUAGUGCUGGGGAACAGCCUGUCAGCCACUGAGGUGCGCUUGUAGCCUGCUUGUUACUGUUGAGACAGUUUUCCAACAUUGUCCUAGCUGAAUUCAGUAUCCUUUUACAUCAGCCUCCUGAAUAAUCGGAGUUAUUUAUAGGGCCCAUACCACCAGGCCUGGUUUUAAGUGUGAAGCUAUAAACAGUGUCUUUGUAGUCUUCUAAGAAUGUUACUCUAUGGUGUGUUAGGGCAUAGAAGCAGAAUAUUGAUAGAAAAACGAAUCUUGAGCUAGGUGUAAUUUUAAUAUUCAGUUCUGUGAUCAGGUCCCUUGGGAGGCCGAAGAAGGAAGAACCAUGAAGUUCAAGUCCAGCCUGGGCUGUCUAUUGAAACACCGGGUGUAUUAAUCUGAGUUUUCUAGAGGAACAGAAUGGAUAGAAUGAGUCUAUGGAUAUUAAAAGGUAUUUAUUAGACUGGCUUACAGCCUAUGAUCUGGCCAGUCUAACAAUGGCUGUCUCCUGACUGAAAGGCCAAGAAUCCAGUAGUUGUUGAGUUAAAAAGGCUGGAUGUUUCAGCUAGUUUUCAGUCUGCAUUGGAAUCCCAAAGAAGUAGUUUUUAUUCCAGUAAGGUAAUGCCUCAGCAGCAGUGUAGAUGAACUUGUCAGCAAGAGUAAACACAAGCAGGCAAAAAACAAAACUUCAUUUUAUUCCUUUUAGGUAGGCUCCCAUCAGAAAGUGGCUUAGAUUUAAGAUGAGUCUUUCAGCCUCAAGUGAUCCAGUUAAGAACUCACCUCCCCCCACCCCCAGUGUGCCCAGCUCCUUGUGUUUUAGUUGAUUCCAGAUGUGGUUAGGUUGACAACUGAGAUUAGCCAUCAUAGAGGGCCCCCUAGGACUCUUCACAAGACGCUUAAAAAGCAAAGUGAAAAAACCCAAUAACACCGAAAAACAGUUUUCCCCCUUUUCUGUUGGUGGGAGGCACAGCCUAACUCACCUUUUAACUGAUCUCUGAGUUAGGGGGCCUGCGGCAUUCAGUCUCAACCGGUACCAUCAGGUAUUUUCCAUAUCGGCUCCUAAACUGGCCUGGAGCAGCCUGAGAGAGG
rnacentral:lncRNA from 1 species